rnacentral:tRNA from 1 species
GCUGUGGCUUCGUGGCAGAGCUUCUGCUUCACAUGCAGAAGGCCCCAGGUUCAAUCCCCAGCAUCUCCA